GGGGGUAUAACUCAAUGGUAGAGCCCAUGCUUGGCAUGCAUGAGGUCCCGGAUUCAAUCCCCAGUGCCUCUG
rnacentral:tRNA from 1 species